UUUUUUUUUUUUUGCCUUUUUGUCUUUUUAGGGCCACGGCAUAUGGAGGUUCCCAGGCUAAAGGUCUAGUCGGAGCUGCAGCUGUUGGCCUAUACCACAGCCACAGCAACGUGGGAUCCAAGCCGCGUCUGUGACCCACACCAUAGCUCAUGGCACCACCAGAUCCUUAACCCACUGAACGAGGCCAGGGAUCGAACCCGCGUCCUUGUGGAUGCUCAUCGCUGAGCCACGAAGGGAACUCCACAAUGAAGUAAAUUAUGUCGUGUGUUCUGUCCUUGACCAGCAGUGCACCCCCAAAUUAUUCUUAACACAGCAGCCAGAGUGAUCUUGUCAAAAUCCUAAAAGAGGAGUUCCUGCUGUGGCUCAGCGGUAACGAAUCCGACUAGGAUCCUUGAGGUCGUGGGUUUGAUCCCUGGCCUCGAUCAGUGGGUUAAGGAUCUGGCGUUGCUGUGAGCUGUGGUGUAGGUUGCAGACAUGGCUCGGAUCCCUCGUUGCUGUGGCUCUGGCAUAGGCCGGCUGCUGUAGCUCUGAUUUGACCCCUAGCCUGGGAUAGGAGAGGUCUGGAACCCUGGAGGCAGGGAAACGGAGGUCACCAAUGCAACAGGAAGGUCAGGGUGGGCCUGGAUGAGAAGGUACGUAGGAGCAAAGACUUGGAAGUGGGCCUCGAGCCAGGCAGACAUCCAGGGGAAGAAUGCUUCAGGCAGGAGGCACAGCUCUGAGGCGGGAGUGGGCCUGACAUGUUCCUAUAAAGCAGGAGGUGAGGGACAGGGGGCAGGAGGUGGCCACAGGGGAGCACUUUGUAAGUCCCGUGAGGACUCUGCCCUUUCCUCUGAGGCAGAUGAGGAGCCACUGCAGAGUUUUGAACAGCGGACUGACAUGUUCUGAUUCCCAUCUUAACAGGAUCACUCUAGCUGCUGUGUUGAGAUCGGAGUGCCAAGGGGUAAGGAGAGAAGCAGGAGCCCAGGGAGGGAGACUAUGCCCACCUCCAGGUAAGAGAAGGUGAGGCUCCGACCAGGGGGGCAGAAGUGCAGGCCAAGGGAACUGGGAGUGGUCAGGUCAAGCCCUGGAUAUAUUCUGAUGAUGAGCCUUAAGUCUUGGGGGGACACUGCAUCAGUACCUUUCUUCUCCCUUUCCCUCCUCCCUCGAAAAUACAGACACCUUCACAGAUUCAGGGAGCAAAAUGUCCAGGUCACCUCAACAGCCCAACGACCAUCAAUCGCACUCAGUGUGGACGCAGCUCCACGCACACUGGCCAGGAGCUGGGGCACCAGUGGGGGACGUCUGCUCUGGGUGUCUCCAGGGAAACCCUGCACUGCUGGUCCCUGGGUUGACAGCUCCCCAGUAAAAUGGGAAUGGUGAUACCUUCCUUGAUCUAACUAACUCUUAGCCCACAAGAAGGAACUGAAACUGGGCUUAGUCUUUCCUCAGGACCAUUUGGCAGCACAUUUCAAAAGCCCUAUGAAGGAGUUCCCUGUUGUGGCUCAGCGGAAAUGAAUCCAACUAACCCCCAUGAAGAUGUGGGUUCAAUCCUUGGCCUCUCUCAGUGGGUUGGGGAUCCGGUGUUGCCGUGAGCUGUGGCCAAGGCCAGGGAUCGAACCCGCAACCUCUUGGUUCCUAGUGCGAUUCGUUAACCACUGAGCCAUGACGGGAACUCCUCUGGAUUAUUUUAGAUUUUCUAAAUUUUCUAUGGUUUACAUGUACGAUUGGUAUAAUCAGAAAAAACCACAUUCAAUAAAAAUAUGAUCACUGCUAUAAAAUGUAACAUCCUCCUGACAAUAAACAUCGCUACCUGUUCCACAAUGGGCCAUGAGGUUUAACAAGUUUGGAGGACAUGAAAGAAGCCUGGAGAGAACAGCAUCAUACCUGGAACAGGGAUUUUCCUGUGACACUAUGAUAAUGGUCACUCUUCACUAAGUCCACUGCCCCAGCGCAGCGAGCUGCCACCACUGAGGCCACUGCAAUACUGACAAAGAGAUGCACGAAUCUGAUGGGACUCCACUCACUGUGAUACGGGAUUGUCCUAAACUUGGGGAGCUAAUAAGGAGGAGAAAGUUGAAGCAAGAAGGAAGAUCAGGGUUUUGGAACCUGUGGGUCUAGAAUUAGUAGCAUCAGCAUCUCCUGGGAGCUUAUCAGAAACGUAGAAGCUCAGGCCCAUGCUCCCACCCACUGAAUCAGAACCCGCCUUUGGACAAGUCCCCAAGCAGUGCCCAUGCAUAUUUAAGUUUAAGGCUCUCUCCAGAACACAUGUUUUCCCAGUUUGGGGUAGGUUUCAGAGGAUCUCAAAUAGAAGGAUUUCUCAAGGAAAUAUUAAUUAUUCAAAAGACGUAAAAAGGAGAGUUCCUGCUACGGCUCAGCAGGAUAAGAACCCAGCAUGGUGUGCAUGAGGAUGCGAUCCCUGGCCUUGCUCAGUGGGUUAAGGAUCCAGCAUUGCUGCAAGCUGCAGUGUAGGUCACAGAUGUGGCUGAGAUCUGGUGUUGCCAUGGCUGUGGCGUAGCCUCAGCUGCAGCCGAUUCAAUCCCUAGCCCAGGAACUUCCAUAUGUCGAAAUCCAGCCAUAAAAAGAAAGAAAAGAAAAAAAAAGGAAAAAUCACCCAAACCAUCCAGAAGUGUUAAGCCUCCAGGCCCUUGGGCAAUGUCAAGUCUCUGGCAGCAGCCAGGGAGAGCUACCACCAUCCCAUCAGUCUGUUACAGGAAGCAGACACGAAUCAGGCAUUCCCUGGGAAUCCUGAACCCUGCUGGCUGGGUGGAGGGCUGUGCAUGAAUAAUUAAUAGGGCUCUGCCCAGAAAUGAACAUAAAAGGAGCAAAACCAGGUCAAAGGCAUAUCACCACAUCUCCAGGCGAGGGCUUGGCCUUUUCCCGCACAACUGUGUUGAAAGGACAGGCUGAGGGGGAUGGCGACUUUUCUGACCCAGAUGCCCCAGUUGGCCAGAAGGACCAGGGGCAGGGUGCGAAAGAAGCCUUGAUUGCUAUGUCUGUAGUUUCGUGGCUCACAUAAAUUAGGUCACCCACCUCAUACAUAAAUUACUCAACAUGGGAUCCAUUUAUACUUCUUUGAAGAAGGGAGGGAACAAACCUGUAAUGAGGCUUUACUCUCUGAAUCAUUUCUGUGUCUUGGCUCACCUGAGCAUCGCCUAAGGAGCUUUACAGAGCUCAGAUGCUCAGGUCACAACCAGAGCCACGGCAGGGCCCUCUGGGGUGGCGCUGGGGUGCUGGUCGCUGGUCAGAUUCCCAGGUGAUCUUAAGGCACUGACAAGGCUGGGAUCCACUGUGCCGGAAGUCAAGCACCUAACAGCAGCUCAGAGAAGCAGGUAGAGAAUGAUUCUGACCGCACAGUGCAGAGUCGCAAAGGGACAGAGCUAGAAUCAGAAUCAGGAGCUUGCUGGUCUAAAUCCAGAGCCCUUUGGUUUUCCGACUUCUAUAGGCAGCUCCAUUUUCAGAAGGCAGAGAUGUCAGAGGUACAGAGAUUCACUUACGAAAACCUAGAAUAGGCUUCCUUGGACCCUGCCAGCAGCACCCCCACCCCACCCCCGCACACGCCUAUAUCCACCACUGAACUAUAAUGACAGUUCUGUCAAGAUUGUGGAAGCAGGAAUCAGAGGAUCAGGAGCAGAGUGGGUGAGAAGAAAAGAGGAAGGAAAAAUAGCAAUGCCAAGAGCUACCAUCCACACGGAAGAUGCUGCCUGUCAGGCCCUGCACUAGCUCUGCAAACCCCACGCCAACCUUUUCUAUAAGUGAAAAAAAAAAUGCCGAAAGCUCGGAGAAAUCACUUACUGGAAUUCAUACAGCAACCGUAACAAACAGAGACAUCAACCCAAAGUCCACUGGCAUGUUCUGCUGUCGCACAUGGCUUCAGAAAGCACCUAACUGAAGAAUAUGGGAGAACCAUCCAUAGCAGGAAAAGGACCUCCUGACUUGACUGGCCCUCAAGAAGUUACACUGAAGGCUCUGGAAACAAUGUUCAUUUAACAACGACAAGAACUCACACCACUGCCACAUUCUUCCAUGAUAAUCCUCUCAACAACCCGGCCAAAUCAUCCUUCUUAGCCCCAGCAUGGAGACAUUAGGUAACUGGUCAAGGUCCCACAGAAAUAAAGUGUCAGGACCAGCCGUGGGGCUGUCCACAAGGGCGGGGUCUCUUUUAAGCUGCCAAGAGGUGAAAUGUGGGAGAAGAAAUUUCAAGAUAUUUCGAAAGGUGAGCUGGGUCUCAGAUUCUUCCAGAAAAGGGGUUGUUUGAGGCAGCAGCUCUGCUUCCAUCACUCUGUCAGUGCUGCUUUUUUGUUAGGCAAGUUUUUGUUAGAAUCAUGCAACCCACGAAAGAAAGGAAGGUCCGCUUUCUUUAUUCCUUGAGAGGGACCAGCACUGGGAAAUGGGAAGAGGUUUACACGGUAUUAGGUUGAAGUGCAUCCUAUGGAAACUAAGAAAGGAAAACGGUCCAGGCAGCCGCAGAGCCGGCCAGCUUGUACCUGAGAAGGCAGGAGACUCAGCACCAGUCAGAUGCGGGCUGAGUCCCAGGGCUGCGAAGGCUUGUGCUGAGGGUGCUGUCUUGCCCCUACCGAAGCCCUACUCCUUCAUCAAGAAAGUGGGGAUCCCACCAACCUCCAGAGAGCACCCUGGGGGAUAAAGGAGCUUCCGUUCCAGCCGGCACCGUGUGUCAUCUGGGUCAUUAUUGCACAACUGAGUGUGCCCGAUGUUCUCCUGAAGGGAACACUGAAUCCUCGCAGCCAUGUGACGUGAGAUGGGAUCAACUGCUGUCUUGAUUUCAAAGAUGAGGGCUCUGGGGCCCCGAAGGGUUGCCCAAGGUCCCAGGGCAAGGAGGCAAGGGUCAGGGUCUGACCGAAGCCUCCAAGGUGGAGGCUCUUCCCAAUACUCCACGUGGCUGGGUGGCAAUGCCCUCAGAAUGCAUGCGUGUAGAAUCUGACUUCUCCAGCCCUACAGAGCAACGCAGGCUGGAUGCUAGGAAGCACAUCCUUGGCCUUAAGGGAGACAAACACUGGACAGGAUAAGCCAGAAAUUCUAAACUGCUAGAAAGGGCAGAUUAGGAGGAGCUGGGGGGUCUCUGCCCACACAGCACAGCAGAGAGCAGAGGGCCCCAGGGGAGGGGGGGCAUGCCGUUGCCAACCUUGACAGGUUUGUUCAGUUUUUAAAAAAAGGACAUAGAAAAUAAAUUUAUAGUUACCAAAGGGGAAAGGGAUAAAUUAGGAGUUUGGGAUUAACAUACACACACCACUACAUAUGGAAUAGAUGACCAACAAGGACCUACUCUGCAGCACAGGGAAUUAGACUCAUAUCUUAAAAUAACCUGUAAUGGAAAAGAAUGUGAAAUAUAUACACAUACAGAAAAGUGAAUCACUUUGCUGUACACCGGGAACUAACAUAGGAUGGUAGAUCAACCAUAUCAAAAAUUUUUUAAAAGAGAAAACAAAAUAAAAAUAAAAUACAAAACUUUGAGGGAAAAGUUAAGACAGUUCAAAAUCACCAAAAAUUCUAUUAAUUCACAGGUUACUACCUUCAAUACUUUGUGUUUCUUUUCAGUCCUGCUUCAGCAAAUGCCUGCUCUAAAAAAAUAUAUUUGGGAUUUAGUAAUAGAGUGUUUAAUA
rnacentral:lncRNA from 1 species